rnacentral:rRNA from 2 species
UGGUGUCCAUGGCGGAGUGGUCACACCUGUUCCCAUCUCGAACACAGCAGUUAAGCACUCCAGCGGCGAAA